rnacentral:rRNA from 1 species
CGAACGCUGGCGGCAUGCCUAACACAUGCAAGUCGAACGAGACCUUCGGGUCUAGUGGCGCACGGGUGCGUAACACGUGGGAAUCUGCCCUUUGCUUCGGAAUAACAGUUAGAAAUGACUGCUAAUACCGGAUGAUGUCGAAAGACCAAAGAUUUAUCGGCAAAGGAUGAGCCCGCGUAGGAUUAGAUAGUUGGUGAGGUAAAGGCUCACCAAGCCGACGAUCCUUAGCUGGUCUGAGAGGAUGAUCAGCCACACUGGGACUGAGACACGGCCCAGACUCCUACGGGAGGCAGCAGUGGGGGAAUAUUGGACAAUGGGCGAAAGCCUGAUCCAGCAAUGCCGCGUGAGUGAUGAAGGCCUUAGGGUUGUAAAGCUCUUUUACCAGGGAUGAUAAUGACAGUACCUGGAGAAUAAGCUCCGGCUAACUCCGUGCCAGCAG